GUGCCUACGGGACGCAGCAGUGAGGAAUAUUGGUCAAUGGUCGGGAGACUGAACCAGCCAAGCCGCGUGAGGGAUGAAGGUACAGAGUAUCGUAAACCUCUUUUGUCAGGGAACAAAGGCGGGGACGUGUCCCCGGAUGAGCGUACCUGAAGAAAAAGCAUCGGCUAACUCCGUGCCAGCAGCCGCGGUAAUACGGAGGAUGCUAGCGUUAUCCGGAUUUAUUGGGUUUAAAGGGUGCGCAGGCGGUCUUUUAUGUCAGCGGUCAAAGCCCGGGGCUCAACCCCUGCCCGCCGUGGAAACGGGCA
rnacentral:rRNA from 1 species